rnacentral:rRNA from 1 species
UUGACCUCGAAUCAGGUAGGGAUACCCGCUGAACUUAAGCAUAUCAAUAAGCGGAGGAAAAGAAACCAACAG